rnacentral:rRNA from 1 species
AACGAACGCUGGCGGCAUGCCUAACACAUGCAAGUCGAACGAGACCUUCGGGUCUAGUGGCGCACGGGUGCGUAACGCGUGGGAACCUGCCCUUAGGUUCGGAAUAACUCCCCGAAAGGGGUGCUAAUACCGGAUAAUGUCUUCGGACCAAAGAUUUAUCGCCUUUGGUUGGGCCCGCGUUGGAUUAGCUAGUUGGUAGGGUAAAAGCCUACCAAGGCGACGAUCCAUAGCUGGUCUGAGAGGAUGAUCAGCCACACUGGGACUGAGACCCGGCCCAGACUCCUACGGGAGGCAGCAGUGGGGAAUAUUGGACAAUGGGCGAAAGCCUGAUCCAGCAAUGCCGCGUGAGUGAUGAAGGCCUUAGGGUUGUAAAGCUCUUUUACCCGGGAUGAUAAUGACAGUACCGGGAGAAUAAGCUCCGGCUAACUCCGUG